UACGUAGGUGGCAAGCGUUGUCCGGAUUUAUUGGGCGUAAAGCGCGCGCAGGCGGUCCUUUAAGUCUGAUGUGAAAUCUCGCGGCUCAACCGCGAGCGGUCAUUGGAAACUGGGGGACUUGAGUGCAGAAGAGAAGAGCGGAAUUCCCGGUGUAGCGGUGAAAUGCGCAGAUAUCGGGAGGAACACCUAUGGCGAAGGCAGCUCGCUGGGACGUUACUGACGCUGAGACGCGAAAGCGUGGGGAGCAAACAGG
rnacentral:rRNA from 1 species